rnacentral:lncRNA from 1 species
GAGCCUGGCUCCCGGAUGAUCAGGCAGCCCCAGAGAGCAGCAGCUGAUGGGGGUGGGCCUCAGGUGCAACAUGGGGCUGAGGAGCGAGGCCCACAGGCUGCUCAGGGCUCCCAGGGUGCUGCAGCUAGAGAUCCGGUCAGAGGAGGGGACAGAACUGCCCCCUGCCAGCAACCUUGGGCAAAAAUGGCCAGUGUCCAGCACCCUGCCAGGAAGAAGAGCGGCCUCCGACUGGCAGCUCUGGACCGUCUCCGGGGGUGGACUCGGUGUGCCUGGGGCGUGCAUCCAUGGUACUGCCAGCUAAGGCCAAAAGCCACACCCGUGGCUCCAAAACAAAAGGCCAAAAGGCGAGGAGGUGGGAGGGAAGCCUUGCACGCAGAUCUCCCUGGAUGCCUGGGGACAGACGCCUCAGCUGGCGGGCCCCGCAUGCUUAACCCUGGCUCAUUCUCGGCCGCAAGCCCUUUAGCGCGAUGCCUCCAGGGCAGGCUGCACGACAGCCCCUGCCCACUGGGCCGGAGAGGCAAAUCGAGGCUCAGGCGGAGGCCAGAGAAGUCAGCUGACCUGGAGGAAGGCCCCGCUCCCCUCUCCCCGCCGGCCCCAAGCCACCAAGCUCACCUCCUGCCCUAGGGCCCCAGGUCAGAGCCAGACUGAGGAACUGCGGGAUUUGGUGGUGAGUCCUGGGCCUCCUGGGCCAGCGGCCGGAGCAGGUCGGUGACUGCAGGGGCCUCAAAGAACCCAGGCUUCAAAGUCACCUGUGAAAAUGGAACUACUGUACCUGUCUCUGCAGGAUUAGGGGUAGGGGGCGGGCGGGGGGGAGGGGGGCUUCCAGUGGAGGCAGAGGGCAGCCAGAGGGCCCGCGAAGGAACGCAAGAAGGAAGAGGUAAGGGCUGGCCUCGCAGUCCAGCCUAAAGGAGCGGACACACGAGCCCCCCACUGGCAGAGCUGCUCUCAGGCAGAGGGUCUGCUGGCUGAGGACUCACGAGCUAGAGAAGCUCUGGCCUCCUGGGGAAGAGCAAAAUGGAUACCAAAGAAAAUUCCAAGUCGGGGCGAGGGCCAGCUUCUCCUCUCCUGGGGCCGCGAUGAGCAGAAAAAGAUGGAUGCUGACUUUGCAAAGGAGAAGCAGGGAUUCUAGACUCCGGCCCUGCCCUGCACAUUCUGGGAGACUGCUUCUCCCGCUGGAAGCCUUCCCUGGGUGAGGUCGAGCUUGGGGCUGCAAAAUAGCUCCCGAGGGCAGGAGGAACCAAGAAGCACCGCGGGGAGGGACCAGAUGUGUCAUCUGAACCCACACACCGCGACCAGCGGCUGCCAUGUCCCUGGAGAUUCAUGCCAAGGGACAAAACAGCGACCCAGACAGUGCCCACAUCUGCUGGGCUCAGGAAACUCAGCCACAGACCGCAGAAUCACCAACUGCAGGAAACCCAAGCUUAGAAUUAGCAUCAACCAGAGGAGAGCCUUCAGAUCCGCCAGUCCAGGCUUCUUGGCUCUGCGGCUGGGGCAGCUGGGGCCCAGAGAGGGCAGGGGCGUGCCCACAGGCACAGAGCAAAGGGCCAGCCUUGGGCACCUAGUUCCUGGUCCAAAGUCAUCUGGCUUUCCUGCCGACAGUUCUGAGGCCGCCCCGUCUCAGCGGCAGGCAGGGCUAGAAGCUUCCUGUGAACACACAUGGGCCACGGCCCGAGAAGCUACACGAACAGGAUUCUCCAAGUCCCUUCUCUCCCUGCUCCUUCCCAGCUUUUGAGCUAAAAGAAGGAAGGGCAGAGGGAUACUGUCCACACUGGAUGAGAGGGCAGGAAGGCGGGAGCCCCUAUUCUCAAAACCCGCCAAGGACGGAGAGGCAGCCUUUACACCUGUCACCCCCUCUUCCCUCGCUCCUUAGGUACCCAGGCCCCUGUCCUGGCUCCCAGGCUCAGCACAAGCCCCGCCAUCCCCCACGUCACCGCCAACACCAAAGCGAGAGCCGAGAAACUGAGAGAUGGUCCCUGUUGGACCCAGAGGACGACACGGGACAGAGAGAUGUGGGAACUGGGGGCAGAGAAAGAGUUCUAAAGAGGAGACAUUCGGGCUGGGGGAACAGUGCAUUAGCCAUUUCAGAAGCCCACCUUGCCCCUCUCCAAACAUGAAGCACAGUAUCUGAAAAGAAGAAAACAAAAAGGUUUUUGGCUUCUUGGCCGCUGCCAGCCACCAUCCUCCCAAGCACGUGUAAACGGUGGGCUCCGCAUCCCCGGAGCGCUGGACACACGAGGCAGCAGCAACAGUUAACAACCAAUAAAUAAAAGAGAUCAAUUAGAUAGGUAUAUAUAUAUAAAAAAAAAACCCUCACUUUUCCCACAAAUAGCACAAUACUGUUAUCACAAAAAAUCAGCAUCAUCGUAAUUCAUCAUCCUAUAGCCACACAGGUGGUUUGGCUGCUCGAGGAUGAGACGACAAACCCCGUUCGGCCUUCUCCCCAUCUGUCAGUCUGAAUCUUCUAGGACAGAAGGUAGUUUGUUUGUUUGUUUGUUUUUCCUUUUUCAAUUGUCUAUUUGAAAU